UACAGAGGUCUCAAGCGUUGUUCGGAUUCAUUGGGCGUAAAGGGUGCGUAGGCGGCGCGGUAAGUCGGGUGUGAAAUCUCGGAGCUUAACUCCGAAAACUGCAUUCGAUACUGCGGUGCUUGAGGACUGGAGAGGAGACUGGAAUUCACGGUGUAGCAGUGAAAAUGCGUAGAUAUCGUGAGGAAGACCAGUGGCGAAGGCGGGUCUCUGGACAGUUCCUGACACUGAGGCACGAAGGCCAGGGGGAGCAAAACGGGG
rnacentral:rRNA from 1 species